rnacentral:rRNA from 1 species
UGGGGAAUCUUUCGCAAUGCGCGAAAGCGUGACGCAGCAACGCCGCGUGGGGGAAGAAGGCCUUCGGGUUGUAAACCCCUUUCAGUUGGGACGAAGGUCGGGCGGUGAAUAGCCGUUCCGGCUGACGGUACCUUCACAAGAAGCCCCGGCUAACUACGUGCCAGCAGCCGCGGUAAUACGUAGGGGGCAAGCGUUGUCCGGAAUCAUUGGGCGUAAAGAGCGUGUAGGCGGCCCGGUAAGUCCGCUGUGAAAGUCGAGGGCUCAACCCUCGGAUGCCGGCGGAUACUGUCGGGCUAGAGUCCGGAAGAGGCGAGUGGAAUUCCUGGUGUGGCGGUGAAAUGCGCAGCUAUCAGGAGGAACACCGAUGGCGAAGGCAGCUCGCUGGGACGGUACUGACGCUGAGACGCGAAAGCGUGGGGAGCAAACAGG